rnacentral:rRNA from 1 species
UACGUAGGAUUCAAGCGUUGUCCGGAUUUAUUGGGUUUAGAGGGUGCGUAGGCGGCCUAUUAGGUUGGUGGUGAAAACGUUCGGCUUAACCGGGUACCCGCCAUUGAUACUGAUAGACUUGAGUGCGACAGAGGGUGUUGGAAUGUGUGGUGUAGCGGCGAAGUGCUUAGAUAUCACGCAGAACACCAAUUGCGAAGGCAGAUGCCUAUGUCGUAACUGACGCUGAGGCACGAAUGCGUGGGGAGCAAACAGG